ACCUGUCUCUCUUCCUUCAUCAGUUUCUCCUUUUAUCUAUCUCUCUCUCAAUCCAUCUCUUCUUCUGUCUGUCUCCCUGUCC